CUACGGGGUGCAGCAGUGAGGAAUAUUGCACAAUGGGGGGAACCCUGAUGCAGCAACGCCGCGUGGAGGAUGACGCAUUUCGGUGUGUAAACUCCUUUUAUAUGUCAAGAAAAUGACGGUAGCAUAUGAAUAAGCACCGGCUAACUCCGUGCCAGCAGCUCGCGGUAAUACGGAGGGUGCAAGCGUUACUCGGAAUCACUGGGCGUAAAGGACGCGUAGGCGGGGUGGAAAGUCAGGUGUGAAAUCCUACAGCUUAACUGUAGAACUGCACUUGAAACUUCUAAUCUAGAGUAUGGGAGGGGGAGAUGGAAUUAGUGGUGUAGGGGUAAAAUCCGUAGAUAUCACUAGGAAUACCUAAAGCGAAGGCGAUCUCCUGGAACAUUACUGACGCUAAGGCGUGAAAGCGUGGGGAGCAAACAGGAUUAGAUACCCGGGUAGUC
rnacentral:rRNA from 1 species